GACUCUUUUGCUCGACUGUAGAGCGUCUGACUCCAGAUUAGAAGGCUGCGUGUUCAAAUCACGUCGGGGUCA
rnacentral:tRNA from 1 species